rnacentral:rRNA from 1 species
GACGAACGCUGGCGGCGUGCUUAACACAUGCAAGUCGAACGGAAAGGCCCUGCUUUUGUGGGGUGCUCGAGUGGCGAACGGGUGAGUAACACGUGAGUAACCUGCCCUUGACUUUGGGAUAACUUCAGGAAACUGGGGCUAAUACCGGAUAGGAGCUCCUGCUGCAUGGUGGGGGUUGGAAAGUUUCGGCGGUUGGGGAUGGACUCGCGGCUUAUCAGCUUGUUGGUGGGGUAGUGGCUUACCAAGGCUUUGACGGGUAGCCGGCCUGGGGGGGUGACCGGCCCCCUUGGGCCUGGGAUCCGGCCCAGACUCCUACGGGGGGCAGCGGUGGGGAAUAUUGCACAAGGGGCGGAGGCCUGAGGCAGCAACCCCGGGGGCGGGAUGACGCCCUUCGGGUUGUAAACCGCUUUCGCCUGUGACGAGGCGUGAGUGACGGUAAUGGGUAAAGAAGCCCCGGCUAACUACGU